CCACCCCCCGGCCCCCUCCUCUGAAGAGGAGGGGGAGCACAACGCCAAUCCCCCCCUCCUCUUCAGAGGAGGGGGCCGGGGGGUGG
rnacentral:sRNA from 3 species